UCUAUAUAUGAAAGGAGAGAGGGUUAGCAUUCCCCUUUAUAAGGAUGAAAGAGGUCCUAGUGGCCUUUAUAAAUGCAGAUAUGGUUAAAACAUUACCACAGAGUCUGUGGCAUCUAACCACGUAAGCUG